rnacentral:rRNA from 1 species
GAUGAACGCUGGCGGCGUGCCUAAUACAUGCAAGUCGAACGGAGAUUGUAGCAAUACGGUCUUAGUGGCGAACGGGUGAGUAACGCGUUGGUAACCUGCCCCGAAGCGUGGGAUAACGGUCCGAAAGGACCACUAAUACCACAUGUGAUCCCGAGGAAUAGAUACUUGGGAUGAAAGGAGCAAUUCGCUUCGGGAGGGACCUGCGUCCCAUCAGCUAGUUGGUAGGGUAACGGCCUACCAAGGCGAUGACGGGUAGGGGACCUGAGAGGGUGGCCCCCCAAAUGGAACUGAAACACGGUCCAUACACCUACGGGGUGGCAGCAGUAGGGAAUAUUGGUUAAUGUGCGAAAGCGCGAACCAGCAAACGCCGCGUGUGCGAUGAAGGCCUUCGGGUCGUAAAGCACUUUUUGCAGGGAAGAGGAAGGGACGGUACCUGCAGAAUAAGUCUCGGCUAACUACGUG